UACGUAGGGUGCUAGCGUUGUUCGGAAUCAUUGGGCGUAAAGCGCGUGUAGGUGGCUAGUUAAGUCAGAUGUGAAAUCCCUGGGCUCAACCGAGGAAGUGCAUUUGAAACUAAUUAGCUAGAGAAUGGUAGAGGGAGGUGGAAUUCCGUGUGUAGAGGUGAAAUUCGUAGAUAUACGGAGGAAUACCGGUGGCGAAGGCGGCCUCCUGGACCAUUUCUGACACUGAGACGCGAAAGCGUGGGGAGCAAACAGG
rnacentral:rRNA from 1 species